CCCUACAAUCUGAUUCGUCCGAAGACAGCAGGCAUAACGUAAGUCCUGCCGAGGAGAAAAAGUCUUUUUUUUGUGACUUCUCCCCGCGGAGAAGUUUUUUAUUUCUGCUU
rfam:Candidatus Chisholmbacteria bacterium RIFCSPHIGHO2_01_FTLL_52_32 rifcsphigho2_01_scaffold_32, whole genome shotgun sequence.